GAAGCAGCAGCCAGAUCAAAGACAUUUCCAUCAAGGUAUCUUCCAGUGGAGAACUUGUAUGAUCUGCGAUGGUGAAAUUGCACUUGAUGAGCCAGCACUAAUUACUGCGAAAGCUAAAAUUGUAACCAUGGAAAGUGUCAUUGAUGGCAUCUCUACUUACACCAGAAGAUGCCUAGGGUGUAAUAUGAUAUAUAGGUUCCAGGAAUGGCAGGAUGGUCUCCACAAUUUUGAUGAUCAUGUGCUUUUGAGUCUCAAACUUUGUCUGUAUCUAAGUCACAGUUUUCAGAACCACGUAUCAGUUUCCAGGGCUAUAGACACUUUGGAGGGCUUACGGGGAGUAAAACACCCCAACAGAGACACCAUACUCCAUGGGUACUGUCAUUUCGAGGCCUUGACAGAUACCGACAACAAAUAU